GAUGAAGAACGUAGCGAAAUGCGAUAAGCAAUGUGAAUUGCAGAAUUCAGUGAAUCAUCGAAUCUUUGAACGCACAUUGCGCCCGCCAGUAUUCUGGCGGGCAUGCCUGUUCGAGCGUCAUUUCAACCAUCAAGCCCUGCUUGCGUUGGGGUCCUGCGGCUGCCCGCAGGCCCUGAAAACCAGUGGCGGGCUCGCUAGUCACACCGAGCGCAGUAAUACAUCUCGCUUUGGGCGUGCGGCGGGUUCUUGCCGUUAAACACCCCCUUUUUACCAAGGUUGACCUCGGAUCAGGUAGGAAUACCCGCUGAACUUAAGCAUAUCAAUAAGCGGAGGA
rnacentral:misc_RNA from 1 species